rnacentral:lncRNA from 1 species
UGUGAAUCAUCUGAAAUCCCCAGAGUUCCAAUGUCCGUGGUGAUGCCUGCAGUUGGCCACAGAGCAGUUUCAGGGGGAGAGUAUAAAGAACCCCAGAUAACAGCCUAGGGGCUAAGAAGAGACAGAUCGGAGCUCCCGGCCAGGCAGCAGAGCCAAGAUACCAUGGACGUGCAAAGCCAACCCCAGUUGCAGCAGAGGAAUGGCUGUUCACCAGUCCAGGUAGCUCUUCCCACCAAGGCUUGCGAUGCGACCUUCCAAGAGGUCACCCACCUCCACCCCUUCCUCAUCGGCCCAGCAACUGACACCAGAGUGUCCCUGACCAUCAGCAACGGCCCGAAAACCCUGCAACUGGAAGCCGAUCUCCAUGACACGGUCGAUCAGAUCAAGAAGCGGAUCAUGCAGGAGAGGAAAUUUGGUGGCUUGGGGUCCAUCAGCCUGUUGUAUGGGAAUCGGGAACUGCAGGGCUCGGAGAUCCUGGGGCAGCAGAAUGUGAAGAACCAGGCCACGCUGUUCAUCGUCCACAGAUGCAAUGGGGGAUAAAUGGGAUUAAAGAGUCACAAGGAGAAGCAUGCGUUAGACAGAACGCAUGCUAAUUGCUUGUUUCUACUUAUCGAUCUAUCUGCUUGCUAUGCACAGGCACCAGCUGCCUUGGUAACAAAUCCAAAUGAUCAUUUUUGCUUCAUAAAGUAUCAUUUCCAUGCUGUAAAAGCUACCUGCUUGAGUGGGCUAAAGGAUAUCAGAGGGCUAAGGGAUGAAAGGCUGGAACUGAAUUUUUGUAGACAACUGGCUGAGCCAGUUUCUUUAGUUAAUUUUUCUUACUGAAAUCCAAAUAAAUCUAAUAAAUGUGAAAUGCUAGACUGCCCG